GAUGAAGAACGCAGCGAAAUGCGAUAAGUAAUGUGAAUUGCAGAAUUCAGUGAAUCAUCGAAUCUUUGAACGCACCUUGCGCCCUUUGGCCAUUCCGAAAGGCAUGCCUGUUUGAGUAUCAUGAACACCUCAACUCUUUAUGGUUUUCCAUGAUGAGCUUGGACUCUGGGGGUUUUGCUGGCUCACAGUCGGCUCCUCUAAAAUGAAUCAGCUUACCAGUGUUUGGUGGGUAUCAUGGGUGUGAUAACUAUCUACGCUUGUGGUUUUUCCACCAGGUAACCUUCAGCAGUGGAGGUUCGCUGGAGCUCAUAGAUGUCUCUCCUCAGUGAGGACAGCCUUUUGAAUGUUUGAUCUCAAAUCAGGUAGGACUACCCGCUGAACUUAAGCAUAUCAAUAAGCGGAGGA
rnacentral:misc_RNA from 1 species